rnacentral:lncRNA from 1 species
AAACAAAGUCCACAAAAAGCACUGGUAUCUCAUCACUACAGAAAAUUACACUUGUUACAGAAAGCGCACAUUGAAGAUCUCUGCUGAGGAAGAUGCUAUUCAGUGAGGAAUGGUAAGUAAACUUUAUACCAACACCGGAGCCUAGAGAACAGGCAAAGCUUGCUGCGAGCCCCUUCCUUAUGGAGCACGGAGAGAAAAAAGUGCCAGCAGAGCACGUCUCAAUAGCAGCCGCUCAGUCUGGCAGGUAGGAGGGCUGACUGCGGGCAGCGGUGGGACAGGGCGGGCAUUGGGCUCAGAAGCACCGAGCCAGGAGCGGCUGCACCACCACAACCUACCGGCUACGAGACAGGUGCGUUCAUUUUUCUCCCUAACUCGUUAACUACCCGGUGUAGCCGUAGCCCCCACGGCGGAUAGCGGCCCUUUGGCUGCGGCCCCCCCGGCGAAAUGGCGGACCCGUCCCGCGUGGACGACGGGGGAGGAGAGGGGGUCGCCAACGGCGCGUCCCCCCGUGUCGCACCUGAAAAGCAGCGGCGCGGAGCCCCCAUCCCGAGCGGAGCGCGGCGGCCGCGGCCCUGCAGGCUAUGGUGCCGACGCCGCCGGCCCCGCCAUGGCAACGGGGGCGGGCGGUGCCGAGGGUGGUAGCGAGCGGUGAGCGGCUGCCGAGACGGCGACUAAGCACGAGUUAGACCUUACGAGCUCCGGAAGAUGCGAGAACUCAGCGCAGCUGAAGGUUUUCAACAAUAACUUUCGUUCAGGACCUCUUCAGACAUCCUUCAGGCCUAUCGAGUAAUAGAAAACAGAAAGCAUAUUAAAAUGGAAGAAGGAAACAGACAGAAAUGGAGAAGAGAGCCUUUCCCAGAAAGGGAAACUUGCAAUACUGCAUCCAACAGAGGUGAGAAGAGAGAUACAAGACGAGGUGAAGAGAAGGCCCUGGAGCUGUAUGGCUUAGAGCUGACAUUUCCCAUAUUGCACUGAGAGCUCAGAUGAAGGAGUGGCAGAUGUUGGCAGAAGAAAUUCCACUGGAGAAAAACAUUCCAGCAGGCAGACAGACUUGGAGAUGAAGAGAGGAUUUCUGUUUAAGAGUCCCUAUACAUCACUUCAACAACAGGAAGCAAAACUCAGAUCCAA